UUCCACCAUAAUUUCCCUCCCACUGACCAAACACAACGAGAAAGCCCUGAUCAUCAUCUUCUCUCCUCCUGACGACUCACCGCCGGAGCAAAAUUACUGCCGUCUGUUCUCUCACAUCUAAUACACUCUACUAGUCUUCUAUCUCAUGAUUACAGGAGUCCCAAGUCUUAUGGAAAUGGGGUUUGUGAAAAGUUUAAUUUAUGGUCCUCGAGGAAAGAAGUAUAAAUAUUGUAUGGUGAUUAAUUAAUUGCUUUGUUUUAGACAUAGUUGAAUAUUUGUUUAUGAUUGCAUAUUUUUACUAACCAUCAUAACAAACUCAUGGCAUUAAAUUUUUUUUGAAGCAUAUGGCAAAAGAAUGUCUACUAGUCUAGCAUCCUACUUACAUUUUUUGGGUUACAUGGAGUUUUUAAAAGGAACUAAAAUAGCAUAAGAAGACUGAGGCUAAUAGCAUUGAUUAUGAGUGCUGCUAAAUUUUAGGGAGUGAAGUACCUGCGCUCAAGAUGAUCAUGUUUGAAGACUGAGGGUUGCAAUGUGCUGAUAUAUGUAGCAGAUGUGUCUUUGUAUGCACAUCCUUCAAUUGGGGACCAACACUUCCAUCUUUUCAGGCUUAGCAAUCGCAAAGAAGUUGAUGUCUCUGCCGGGUACAUUUGAGAUCUCCUUAGAUGUUUUGUAAGAUAGGUUGUUAGUGAUGUUAAUAUGUAAAAAUUCAUUUAGAAAUUAAGUUAGACUUUUGAUUUAUUGAAUUCAGAAGUAGCUAUAUAAUAGUUGUAAGCUGCAUAA